AAGCUCGUAGUUGAAUUUCGGGGUUCUACCGUCGGUCGGGCUACCAAGUCUGUACUGGUGUGUAGAAUUUCUACCUUCUGGGGAACCAUCAUGUUAUUAAUUUAGCGUGGUGGGAAACCAGGACCUUUACCUUGAAAAAAUUAGAGUGUUCAAAGCAGGCUUAUGUCUGAAUACAUUAACAUGGAAUAAUAGAAUAGGACGGUGGUCCUGUUUUGUUGGUUUCUGAGUCACCGUAAUGAUUAAUAGGGAUAGUUGGG
rnacentral:rRNA from 1 species